CUACGGGUUGCAGCAGUGAGGAAUUUUGCGCAAUGGGGGAAACCCUGACGCAGCAACGCCGCGUGAGUGAUGAAGGCCUUCGGGUCGUAAAACUCUGUCAAGUGGGAAGAACCUAUGUAAGGUUAAUACCCUUAUGUACUGACGGUACCACUGAAGGAAGCACCGGCUAACUCCGUGCCAGCAGCCGCGGUAAUACGGAGGGUGCAAGCGUUAUUCGGAAUUAUUGGGCGUAAAGGGCGCGCAGGCGGUUUUGUAAGUCAGAUGUGAAAGCCCGGGGCUUAACCUCGGAAGUGCAUUUGGUACUGCAAGACUUGAGUAUGGGAGGGGGAAGUGGAAUUCCUGGUGUAGAGGUGAAAUUCGUAGAUAUCAGGAGGAACACCAGUGGCGAAGGCGACUUCCUGGACCAAUACUGACGCUGAGGCGCGAAGGCGUGGGGAGCAAACAGGAUUAGAUACCCCCGUAGUC
rnacentral:rRNA from 1 species